GACGAACGCUGGCGGCGUGCCUAAUACAUGCAAGUCGAGCGGACUGAUUAAGAGCUUGCUCUUAUGACGUUAGCGGCGGACGGGUGAGUAACACGUGGGCAACCUGCCCUGUAGAUCGGGAUAACACCGAGAAAUCGGUGCUAAUACCGGGUAAUAUCUGAGAUCACAUGAUCUUAGGUUAAAAGAUGGCUCCGGCUAUCACUACAGGAUGGGCCCGCGGCGCAUUAGCUAGUUGGUAAGGUAAUGGCUUACCGAGGCGACGAUGCGUAGCCGACCUGAGAGGGUGAUCGGCCACACUGGGACUGAGACACGGCCCAGACUCCUACGGGAGGCAGCAGUAGGGAAUCUUCCGCAAUGGACGAAAGUCUGACGGAGCAACGCCGCGUGAGUGAUGAAGGGUUUCGGCUCGUAAAGCUCUGUUGUUAGGGAAGAAACAGUACCGAACGAACUAGGUCGGUACCUUGACGGUACCUAACCAGAAAGCCACGGCUAACUACGUG
rnacentral:rRNA from 1 species